AUCGAACGCUGGCGGCAGGCCUAACACAUGCAAGUCGAACGAGAGGCGGACGGGAGAGUAAUGUAUGGGGAACUGCCUGAUAGAGGGGGAUAACUACUGUAAACGGUGGAUAAAACGGCAUACUAUCGGAUGAACCCAUAUGGGAUUAGCUAGUAGUGGGGGUAAAGGUUCACCGAGGCGACGAUCCCUAGCUGGUCUGAGAGGAUGAUCAGCCCCACUGGGACUGAGACACGGCCCAGACUCCUACGGGAGGCAGCAGUGGGGAAUAUUGAACAAUGGGCGCAAGCCUGAUGCAGCCACGCCGCGUGUAUGAAGAAGGCCUUCGGGUUGUAAAGUACUUUCAGCGGGGAGGCGUUACCCGCAGAAGAAGCACCGGCUAACUCCGUGCCAGCAGCCGCGGUAAUUC
rnacentral:rRNA from 1 species